AUUGAACGCUGGCGGCAGGCCUAACACAUGCAAGUCGAGCGAGCGGCGGACGGGUGAUUAAUGUAUGGGGACUGCCCGUGAGAGGGGGAUAACUACUGCAAGCGGUAGCUAAUACCGGAUACUAUCGGAUAACCCAGAUGGGUUUAGCUAGUAGGUGAGGUAAUGGCUCACCUAGGCGACGAUCCCUAGCUGGGCUGAGAGGAUGAUCAGUCACACUGGGACUGAGACACGGCCCAGACUCCUACGGAGGCAGCAGUGGGGAAUAUUGCACAAUGGGCGCAAGCCUGAUGCAGCCAUGCCGCGUGUAUGAAGAAGGCCCUAGGGUUGUAAAGUACUUUCAGUCGGGAGGCGUUACCGACAGAAGAAGCACCGGCUAACUCCGUGCCAGCAGCCGCGGUAAUAC
rnacentral:rRNA from 1 species